AGAGUUUGAUCCUGGCUCAGGAUGAACGCUAGCGGCAGGCCUAACACAUGCAAGUCGAGGGGCAGCGGGAGUGCUUGCACUUGCCGGCGACCGGCGCACGGGUGCGGAACGCGUAUCGAAUCUGCCUCUAUCUGGGGGAUACCCCAUGGAAACGUGGAAUAAUACCCCAUAGUAUUACUUUAUCGCAUGAUUUAGUAAUUAAAGAAUUCGGAUAGAGAUGACGAUGCGUAUCAUUAGCUAGUAGGUAAGGUAACGGCUUACCUAGGCAGCGAUGAUUAGGGGUCCUGAGAGGGAGAUCCCCCACACUGGUACUGAGACACGGACCAGACUCCUACGGGAGGCAGCAGUGAGGAAUAUUGGACAAUGGUCGAAAGACUGAUCCAGCCAUGCCGCGUGCAGGAUGACUGCCCUAUGGGUUGUAAACUGCUUUUAUACGGGAAGAAAAACACCUACGUGUAGGUGACUGACGGUACCGUAAGAAUAAGGACCGGCUAACUCCGUGCCAGCAGCCGCGGUAAUACGGAGGGUCCAAGCGUUAUCCGGAAUCAUUGGGUUUAAAGGGUCCGUAGGCGGGCUAUUAAGUCAGAGGUGAAAGUUUGCAGCUCAACUGUAAAAUUGCCUUUGAUACUGAUAGUCUUGAAUUGUAGUGAAGUGGUUAGAAUAUGUGGUGUAGCGGUGAAAUGCAUAGAUAUCACAUAGAAUACCGAUUGCGAAGGCAGAUCACUAACUAUAUAUUGACGCUGAGGGACGAAAGCGUGGGGAGCGAACGGGAUUAGAUACCCCGGUAGUCCACGCCGUAAACGAUGGAUACUAGCUGUUGGAUUUUUUCAGUGGCUAAGCGAAAGUGAUAAGUAUCCCACCUGGGGAGUACGUUCGCAAGAAUGAAACUCAAAGGAAUUGACGG
rnacentral:rRNA from 1 species